rnacentral:rRNA from 1 species
GUCGAACGCUGGCGGCGUGCUUAACACAUGCAAGUCGAACGGAAAGGCCCUGCUUUUGUGGGGUGCUCGAGUGGCGAACGGGUGAGUAACACGUGAGUAACGUGCCCUUGACUUUGGGAUAACUUCAGGAAACUGGGGCUAAUACCGGAUAGGAGCUCCUGCUGCAUGGUGGGGGUUGGAAAGUUUCGGCGGUUGGGGAUGGACUCGCGGCUUACCAGCUUGUUGGUGGGGUAGUGGCUUACCAAGGCUUUGACGGGUAGCCGGCCUGAGAGGGUGACCGGCCACAUUGGGACUGAGAUACGGCCCAGACUCCUACGGGAGGCAGAAGUGGGGAAUAUUGCACAAUGGGCGGAAGCCUGAUGCAGCAACGCCGCGUGCGGGAUGACGGCCUUCGGGUUGUAAACCGCUUUCGCCUGUGACGAAGCGUGAGUGACGGUAAUGGGUAAAGAAGCACCGGCUAACUACGUG